GGCCGCGUGGCGUAAUGGCAACGCGUCUGACUACGAAUCAGGAGAUUGCAGGUUCGACCCCUGCCGCGGUCA
rnacentral:tRNA from 1 species